rfam:Labrenzia sp. C1B10 contig8, whole genome shotgun sequence.
UUGCGGCUGCCCGAUACGUCAGGAACAUUAUCCCCGGGGCCUUACGCAUUCCCUUGGGAGCUGUCCCUGCGCUGGGCCGUGGUCCGUUGCAUACGGCGCCCACCUACAUUGUAGGUUUCCCGGGAUUGCAAAUCCAACGGUCGGGCGGCUGCGCG